rnacentral:rRNA from 1 species
CCUACGGGAGGCAGCAGUGAGGAAUAUUGGUCAAUGGGCGCGAGCCUGAACCAGCCAAGUCGCGUGAGGGAAGACGGUCCUAUGGAUUGUAAACCUCUUUAGGCGGGGAGCAAUGCCGGGCACGCGUGUCCGGAGGGAGAGUACCCGCAGAAUAAGCAUCGGCUAACUCCGUGCCAGCAGCCGCGGUAAUACGGAGGAUGCGAGCGUUAUCCGGAUUUAUUGGGUUUAAAGGGUGCGUAGGCGGGCUGUUAAGUCAGCGGUAAAAGCCCGGGGCUCAACCCCGGCGAGCCGUUGAAACUGGCUGUCUUGAGAUGUCGAGAGGUAUGCGGAAUGCGCAGUGUAGCGGUGAAAUGCUUAGAUAUUGCGCAGAACUCCGAUUGCGAAGGCAGCCUACUAAACUGCCACUGACAUUGAUGCUCGAAAGUGUGGGUAUCAAACAGGAUUAGAUACCCCAGUAGUC